AACGCGAAGAACCUUACCUACCCUUGACAUCCUGCGAAUCCUGUAGAGAUACGGGAGUGCCGCAAGGAACGCAGAGACAGGUGCUGCAUGGCUGUCGUCAGCUCGUGUUGUGAGAUGUUGGGUUAAGUCCCGUAACGAGCGCAACCCUUGUCCUUAGUUGCCAUCAUUUAGUUGGGGACUCUAAGGAGACUGCCGGUGAAGAACCGGAGGAAGGCGGGGACGACGUCAAGUCAUCAUGGCCUUUAUGGGUAGGGCUACACACGUGCUACAAUGGGGCGUACAGAGGGUAGCGAACCUGCGAAGGGGAGCCAAUCUCAGAAAGCGCCUCGUAGUCCAGAUUGGAGUCUGCAACUCGACUCCAUGAAGUUGGAAUCGCUAGUAAUCGCGAAUCAGCCACGUCGCGGUGAAUACGUUCCCGGGCCUUGUACACACCGCAUAC
rnacentral:rRNA from 1 species